rnacentral:rRNA from 1 species
UGAACGCUAGCGACAGGCCUAACACAUGCAAGUCGAGGGCAGCACAAGGAGCAAUCUGAGGUGGCGACCGGCGCACGGGUGAGUAACACGUAUGCAACCUGCCUGUAAGCGGGGAAUAACCCGUUGGAAGACGGACUAAUACCGCAUAAUACUAAAUUACUGCAUGGUAAUUAUUUAAACAUUUAUGGCUUACAGAUGGGCAUGCGCAUGAUUAGCUAGUUGGAGAGGUAACGGCUCCCCAAGGCAACGAUCAUUAGGGGUUCUGAGAGGAAGGUCCCCCACCACUGGUACUGAGACACGGACCAGACUCCUACGGGAGGCAGCAGUGAGGAAUAUUGGUCAAUGGACGAGAGUCUGAACCAGCCAAGUCGCGUGCAGGAAGAAUGUUCCCUAUGGAUUGUAAACUGCUUUUGCAGGGGAAUAAAGUGCAUCACGUGUGAUGUUUUGUAUGUACUCUGCGAAUAAGGAUCGGCUAACUCCGUGCCAGCCGCGGC